AUGGCUCAGGAUGAACGCUAGCGACAGGCUUAACACAUGCAAGUCGAGGGGCAGCAUAAAAGUAGCAAUACUUGGUGGCGACCGGCGCACGGGUGAAUAACGCGUAUGCAACCUACCUAUCAGAGGGGAAUAACCCGGCGAAAGUCGGACUAAUACCGCAUAAAACAGGGGCACUGCAUGGUGAUAUUUGUUAAAGAAAUUCGCUGAUAGAUGGGCAUGCGUUCCAUUAGGUAGUUGGUGAGGUAACGGCUCACCAAGCCGACGAUGGAUAGGGGAACUGAGAGGUUGGUCCCCCACACUGGUACUGAGACACGGACCAGACUCCUACGGGAGGCAGCAGUGAGGAAUAUUGGUCAAUGGGCGGGAGCCUGAACCAGCCAAGUCGCGUGAAGGAAGAAGGAUCUAUGGUUCGUAAACUUCUUUUGCAGGGGAAUAAAGUGCAGGACGUGUCCUGUUUUGUAUGUACCCUGAGAAUAAGGAUCGGCUAACUCCGUGCCAGCAGCAGC
rnacentral:rRNA from 1 species